rnacentral:rRNA from 1 species
AGGGUUCGGCUGUUCGCCGAUUAAAGUGGCACGCGAGCUGGGUUCAGAACGUCGUGAGACAGUUCGGUCCCUAUCCUUCGCGGGCGUAGGAUAUUUGAGAGGAUUUGCCCUUAGUACGAAAGGACCGGGGUGAACGCACCUAUUGUGUACCGGUUGUCGCGCCAGCGGCACUGCCGGGUAGCGAAGUGCGGAGCGGAUAAACGCUGAAAGCAUCUAAGCGUGAAACCCACCUCAAGAUUAGAUAUCCCAUCUACUUCGGUAGAGUAAGACUCCAUGUAGACGACGUGGUUGAUAGGUCGCAGCUGUAAGUGCAGCAAUGUAUUCAGGUGAGCGAUACUAAAUAAGUCGAGGGCUUGAUCAU